ACGCUGGCGGCAGGCUUAACACAUGCAAGUCGAACGGUAACAGGAAUUAGCUUGCUAAUUUGCUGACGAGUGGCGGACGGGUGAGUAAUGCUUGGGAAUCUGGCUUAUGGAGGGGGAUAACUACGGGAAACUGUAGCUAAUACCGCGUAAAAUCUUCGGAUUAAAGGGUGGGACUUUCGAGCCACCUGCCAUAAGAUGAGCCCAAGUGGGAUUAGGUAGUUGGUUAGGUAAAGGCUGACCAAGCCGACGAUCUCUAGCUGGUCUGAGAGGAUGACCAGCCACACUGGAACUGAGACACGGUCCAGACUCCUACGGGAGGCAGCAGUGGGGAAUAUUGCACAAUGGGGGGAACCCUGAUGCAGCCAUGCCGCGUGAAUGAAGAAGGCCUUCGGGUUGUAAAGUUCUUUCGGUGACGAGGAAGGUUGAUAGGUUAAUAGCCUAUCAAAUUGACGUUAAUCACAGAAGAAGCACCGGCUAACUCCGUGCCAGCAGCCGCGGUAAUACGGGGGGUGCGAGCGUUAAUCGGAAUAACUGGGCGUAAAGGGCACGCAGGUGGUGACUUAAGUGAGAUGUGAAAGCCCCGAGCUUAACUUGGGAAUUGCAUUUCAUACUGGGUCGCUAGAGUACUUUAGGGAGGGGUAGAAUUCCACGUGUAGCGGUGAAAUGCGUAGAGAUGUGGAGGAAUACCGAAGGCGAAGGCAGCCCCUUGGGAAUGUACUGACGCUCAUGUGCGAAAGCGUGGGGAGCAAACAGGAUUAGAUACCCUGGUAGUCCACGCUGUAAACGAUGUCGAUUUGGGGAUUGGGCUUUGAGCUUGGUGCCCGUAGCUAACGUGAUAAAUCGACCGCCUGGGGAGUACGGCCGCAAGGUUAAAACUCAAAUGAAUUGACGGGGGCCCGCACAAGCGGUG
rnacentral:rRNA from 1 species